GGACAGGUUGCUCGGUCCUUCCUCCCUGCUGAGGGCCGCGUGGGCAGCAGCAGGGACUGGGCGGCCCGACUCCUCCAUGGGGAGCUGGGCCUGCGCAGGGCUCCUCGCCCCAGCCUGGCGGGGCCGUUCCGCCCGGGGGGGCAGCGCUGCGCUGGCGGUUCUCCCACCUGGGGGGCCCUUCCGCUGCGCCCCGCCGCGGCCCCGGAUCGCCGGUAGAUGCGGAACCGGGUGAGGCUGGCCCGGGGGGUGGGCGCUCCGGGAGCGUGUCCGACGUGGGGGCAGAAAUAACGAGCUUUGUGCAGAUAAAUGGUCACACCUGACUGAAGUGCUCAUGAAGACACCUCUUAGGAAUGAAGUGCCUCUGCUGGAAAAGUCCUCAAGAAUGUAUUCAUAAUAAUCAGAUGCCUAGAUGUACUUCAUAGAACUUGCAAGAUACUUUUUGACAUAAAUCUCCUUGAAGAGUGACAGAUUCCCAGGGGAAAAACGAACAAGAUAAGUAAUGGCUAGGACAGCACAACAGUUGGUAGCCUCAGUUUGCAUGGCUAAAUUUUUGACCCAGCUCAUGUUUCAGUUCUGAAAUGGAAUAAAACUAGUGUCAUUCAUCUUUGAAUAAUGUAUUUGGGGAAUGUUUUUAUACUAUACUCAGUAAUAAAGAAUUUUGUAGUACAAUGUA